CUUUUAUUAUAAAAAAAGCAUGAAUAACAGAAUCGUUCAUUUAUUUAACUAAUGUCGGUAUAUUGUGUUUCACAAAAAUCUACUCUAUACCUAUAGUAUUUAUUAUUGUAUAAUUAUUAUUAUCAUUCAUGUAUAAUGAUUCGCCCCGAAUCAUAGUUACCGUCAGAGAAAAAGAAAAUACCGACCAAUGACUUAAGAAAAAAACAACCCCCUUCCCGCACACAACCG